GGAAGAUUGCCUGACAAGCACUGCCUGCAUUUCGGCCGGCGAUGGGAAAGCAGAGGUCACAAGCCCACUCUUCCUUUUGUCCCCCCGCUGGCUCUAACGAACUACCCUGGGGUAUACGCGGCUGAAAUUCGAACUGACGGCCACAGCAUGAGCU
rnacentral:sRNA from 1 species